rnacentral:rRNA from 1 species
CGAAUCUUUAUUCUGAUUUGAUAAAAAAUUUUUUUUUAUCUAGGAAUAAGGUGUAAAGGUGAGUUACUUAAAUAAGAUACCUUAUAGUUUCCUUAAUUAGGAGAUAACCAAUAAAGGAAUUUUUCCGCUAUAACGAGUCGAUUUAUAUUGUUUAAGGGUAGUUGGAAGGGUAAAAGCCUAACAAGCCGAAGAUCAAAAGCCAAGUUUGAAAGAACUAUUGGUCACAUUGGGAAUGAAAAGCCCCGAGUAAUAAUAAUUACCAGCAGUCGAGAAUCUUGGUCAAUGCUCGCAAGAGUGAACCAGCUAACUGAAAUAAUAGAUAUAUACCUGUAUGAACUAAUAAUUUAUUAUUAGUUAGACUUUCUGUGGUGGUUAGUCCUAUUAUAAGGUAAGGGAGAAAAUUGAUGUUACCUUACUAUUAGUGUUGUCCAAAUCUAGUGCCAGAAGACUCGGUAAGGCCAGGUACGCGAACGUUAAUCAUCUUAAUCAGGCGUAAAGGGUGUGUAGGCGGCUUUUUUAGGUUAAUAUAAGUAAUUAAUUUUUAAUUAGUUACAUAUUAAGCUCUUGGAAGCUAGAAUCUUAUAGAGGAUAAACCAAAUAAUGCUUAGUCUAGGGGUGAUAUCUUAAGAAACUAAGUGGAAUACUAAAAGGUGAAAGCUUUUUAUCUAUUACAGAUUGACGCUGAGAAACGAAGGUGGGAACAGAAAGUAGGAUUAGAUACCCAGAUAUCUCCCACUGUCAACGAUGAGUGGUGGUUUAGUUAGUUCUUCACAAAGGAACUGACAGCGAUGCUAACGCGAUAACCACUCCGCCUUGUGAGUACGGUUGCAAAACUGAAAUCGAAAAAAUUAGUCGGUCUCGAAGCAAACGAAGUGAAGCAUGUUAUUUAAUACGAUAAUCCGCGUAUAACCUUACCAGUUCUUGUAUAGCCAUUUGGUCAUUUUUGGUUUUGAGUUAAGCAAAACCUUAUAUUGCUUAGGUGAUAUAAAAAGAAAAUGAGAUAAAUGUAUAUUUACUAUUUUUGUAGUCGUAAAAGAGGCUAGGGUUACCUAGCUAUUUAUUUGAUAUCUCUUUUAAACUUUUAAGUUUAAUAGGAAAAAUACUUAAUCUAAUGUUUUUCUGAAAAAGAUAUUGAGUAAAUCUACUAGACAUUACAACCUCAUGUAGUGUUAUAUCAUAAAAAAGCAAAUGUUUUUAUGAUAACAAAACUAAAAAUUUUAAUAGUAAAUUGUUUACAGGUGUUGCAUGGCUGUCGUCAGUCCGUAUCUUGUGGUCUAAGGUUAAUUCCGUAAACGGACGAAAUCCCUGCUAUAAAUUUAAACUUUAUAGUUAAUGAUUUUUAAAUAAUUUCAUUUGGGGCUAAGACAAGCCGUUAUGGUCCUCAUGAACUGGGCUAUAGACGUGCCACAAACACUUUUACAAAGUGAUGCUAAGACCUAUUACCCUUAUGAAGCUUUUUUUAAGUGGAGGGGCGCUAAAGGAAUAGCUAAUCAUUAAAGAAAGUGUACAUUUAAAUUAGAUGACAGAUUGUCGCCUGCAAUUCGGCGGCAUGAAGAAGGAAUUUCGAGUAAUCGUUGAUCAUUACGCAACGGUGAAGCAUUGUUUUCGUGAUGAACUAACCGUCUGUCGCUGGGAAGAAGUUUAAUACUGGGGAAACUGCUUAAGAGAUUUUUAUUUUAUAAAGAUUUAGUUUAUUUUUAAACAUCUUUAUUAAUAUAAUUUCGAACCAGUUAGCCAGGUUGAAUAACAUCUCAAAAGUCAUAGCAAG